rnacentral:lncRNA from 1 species
GGAGUUGAGAGUUCUGCAUUUUGAUCUAAAGGCAUCCAGGAAGAGACUGUCUUUCAGGGGGCUACCAGGAGGGUCUGUUCUGCACUGAGUAGAGCUUCAAAGCCUACCACCAGACUGAUCCACUUCCUCCAACAAGGUCACACUUCUGAAUAGAGCUACUCCCUGUGACAAACAUAUUUAAACUCCCACAUUCCACUACCUGGCCCCUAUAAGCUUGUUGGAGUACAGGAAUAUAUGGGGACCAUACUUAAACAUAGCAUAAUGAAAACUACAUGAGGUCCAACUUUAAAAGUCCCCAUCAUCUAUACCAGUCUCAAAAAUGUUAAAAGUUCAAAGUUCAAAGUCUCUUCUGAGAUUCAUCCAAUCAUGUAACUAAUCCCCUAAAAAAGAAAAUCAAGAGCUAGGCAUGGUGGCGCACACCUUUAAUCCUAGCACUCGGGAGGCAGAGGCAGGCGGAUUUCUGAGUUUGAGGCCAGCCUGGUCUACAG